rnacentral:tRNA from 1 species
UGGGGUAUAGCCAAGCGGUAAGGCAACGGAUUCUGACUCCGUCAUUUCGUUGGUUCAAAUCCAGCUACCCCAGCCA